UACGUAGGGGGCAAGCGUUGUCCGGAAUCAUUGGGCGUAAAGAGCUCGUAGGCGGCUUGUCACGUCGGUUGUGAAAGCCCGGGGCUUAACCCCGGGUCUGCAGUCGAUACGGGCAGGCUAGAGUGUGGUAGGGGAGAUCGGAAUUCCUGGUGUAGCGGUGAAAUGCGCAGAUAUCAGGAGGAACACCGGUGGCGAAGGCGGAUCUCUGGGCCAUUACUGACGCUGAGGAGCGAAAGCGUGGGGAGCGAACAGG
rnacentral:rRNA from 1 species